AAAAGAGAGGAGGAGCCAAAUUACCCUUGCACGAAAGAUGAUAUCAGCGAAGAUGCUUGUCCUGAGCGGCUGGAUGCAGAGCCCUUUCACAUUAAAGAGGAAGAGGAGAACAAAGAGGAAGAACAGCAGGUCCGA